UUUUAGUGGUUGACCUCGGAUCAG
rnacentral:rRNA from 1 species